rnacentral:rRNA from 1 species
GUGAACGCUGGCGGUAGGCCUAACACAUGCAAGUCGAACGGCAGCACAGUAAGAGCUUGCUCUUACGGGUGGCGAGUGGCGGACGGGUGAGGAAUACAUCGGAAUCUACUUUUUCGUGGGGGAUAACGUAGGGAAACUUACGCUAAUACCGCAUACGACCUACGGGUGAAAGCAGGGGAUCUUCGGAUCUUGCGCGAUUGAAUGAGCCGAUGUCGGAUUAGCUAGUUGGCGGGGUAAAGGCCCACCAAGGCGACGAUCCGUAGCUGGUCUGAGAGGAUGAUCAGCCACACUGGAACUGAGACACGGUCCAGACUCCUACGGGAGGCAGCAGUGGGGAAUAUUGGACAAUGGGCGCAAGCCUGAUCCAGCCAUACCGCGUGGGUGAAGAAGGCCUUCGGGUUGUAAAGCCCUUUUGUUGGGAAAGAAAAGCAGCAGGUUAAUACCCCGCUGUUCUGACGGUACCCAAAGAAUAAGCACCGGCUAACUUCGUG